UACUCCUACGGGAGGCAGCAGUGGGGAAUAUUGGACAAUGGGCGCAAGCCUGAUCCAGCCAUACCGCGUGGGUGAAGAAGGCCUUCGGGUUGUAAAGCCCUUUUGUUGGGAAAGAAAUCCAGCUGGUUAAUACCCGGUUGGGAUGACGGUACCCAAAGAAUAAGCACCGGCUAACUUCGUGCCAGCAGCCGCGGUAAUACGAAGGGUGCAAGCGUUACUCGGAAUUACUGGGCGUAAAGCGUGCGUAGGUGGUCGUUUAAGUCCGUUGUGAAAGCCCUGGGCUCAACCUGGGAACUGCAGUGGAUACUGGACGACUAGAGUGUGGUAGAGGGUAGCGGAAUUCCUGGUGUAGCAGUGAAAUGCGUAGAGAUCAGGAGGAACAUCCAUGGCGAAGGCAGCUACCUGGACCAACACUGACACUGAGGCACGAAAGCGUGGGGAGCAAACAGGAUUAGAUACCCUGGUAGUCCACGCCCUAAACGAUGCGAACUGGAUGUUGGGUGCAAUUUGGCACGCAGUAUCGAAGCUAACGCGUUAAGUUCGCCGCCUGGGGAGUACGGUCGCAAGACUGAAACUCAAAUGAAUUGACGG
rnacentral:rRNA from 1 species